rnacentral:rRNA from 1 species
UACAGAGGUCCCAAGCGUUGUUCGGAUUCACUGGGCGUAAAGGGUGCGUAGGCGGUCGGGUAAGUCUGAUGUGAAAUCUCACAGCUUAACUGUGAAACUGCAUUGGAUACUAUUCGGCUAGAGAGUUGGAGGGGGGACUGGAAUUCUUGGUGUAGCAGUGAAAUGCGUAGAUAUCAAGAGGAACACCAGUGGCGAAGGCGGCUUUCUGGACGAUAACUGACGCUGAGACGCGAAAGCGUGGGGAGCAAACAGG